rnacentral:lncRNA from 1 species
CCUGCAGCAUUAAGUUAUCUAAGGUCCAAAAACAUAAAAUUCCCAAUGAAGGCCAAGGUUUAGUCUUCCCUAAAUGAUAAAAUAACAUAAGCAUCAUCAUUAUAAUUUGUGUAGAUUGUAUGUCUAUUUCUAGAAACAAGAAAUUGCUUCCAGGUGCUUUCCUUCCAAAAUCCCAUCAAAAUGAUACAUGGUUUGUUUACAAUCAAGUGUAUGAGAUAUCAUUUUUACUUAGUCGAAUAUGUAUAUCUAGUAGAUCAAUUUUUCAAAGCUAUACAAACAAAAUUAUGGCAAUAUUGUGAGUCGUCACAAAGAUUAAAUGUUCUGAUGGAAGCUAGCACAAUAGGAGAAAAGAGCUUGAGGUUAAUAAUAGAUCCUUGUAAAUAUAUUAAUAGACCUUUACAUAUCACAACUAGCACAAUAGGAGAAAAGAAGAAUAGUGCUAAAAGCCAACAUAAUGAUGAGAGAAAAAAAAGUGAGGAAUGAUACAACCGAGUUGCUUCUUAAAGCAACUGAGAUAUAAGAAUAAAAAUAUCUAUUUGCCUUUGACAAUUAAAUCCUCAUAUCAGAAUGGGACUAUGUCCACAAAUAGAUAACUAAAAAAAAGCACUCCAAACACUUGUACAUACUAAGAAGAGCAAUUGGACAGAAUACAUUCAUAGCUGCAAUGUAACUAUUUAACAUGAUAUGUAGCAGAUAGGUUGAUUUCUUGAGAAUCCUCAUAUGCAUGCACGAUUGAUAUAAAAAGGACCAAUAAUAUGAAACAGAUGAUGAUUCCUACGGUCUUGUGAAGCCAUUUAGACAGUUGAGAAUUAGGGAUAUCAAUGAGCUACUAAGAAGAGCAAUUGGACAGAAUACAUUCAUAGCUGCAACUUAACUAUUUAGCAUGAUAUGCUGCAGAUAGGUUGAUUUCUUGAGAAUCCUCAGAUGCAUGCACGAUUGAUAUAAAAAGGACCAAUAAUAUGAGACAGAUAAUGGUUCCUACGGUCUUGUGAAGCCAUUUAGACAGUUGAGAAUUAGGGAUAUCAAUGAGCUACUAUGAAGAGUAAUUGGACAGAAUACAUUCAUAGCUGCAACUUAACUAUUUAACAUGAUAUGCUGCAGAUAGGUUGAUUUCUUGAGAAUCCUCAGAUGCAUGCACGAUUGAUAUAAAAAGGACCAACAAUAUGAAACAGAUGAUGGUUCCUAUGGUCUUGCGAAGCCAUUUAGACCGUUGAGAAUUAGGGAUAUCAAUGAGCUACUAAGAAGAGUAAUUGGACAGNNNNNNNNNNNNNNNNNNNNACAUUCUAUAGACUGCAACUUAACUAUUUAACAUGAUAUGCUGCAGAUAGGUUGAUUUCUUGAGAAUCCUCAGAUGCAUGCACGAUUGAUAUAAAAAGGACCAAUAAUAUGAAACAGAUGAUGGUUCCUAUGGUCUUGCGAAGCCAUUUAGACAGUUGAGAAUUAGGGAUAUUAAUGAGCUUAGCAUAGACAUUCCAAUGAUUGAACCUCAAUAACCAAAUUCACCAAUUUGAAGCACCGGCUUCAAAUUAAACUCAUUCACAUCAAUUACCAGGAUGAAUCUAAUUACUUCCAAAGGAACCGCUUAAAGAAUGAACCAAGAAGAAAAAAAAAUCAAAUGAAACAAUGAACUAACUAUUAAACCUACAGUAUUCGAGAUGCAUAACACGAGAUCCCUUCCCCUAGAAAACAACUUCAACACACUUUACCGAUUUGUAAAAUUGAGGGCAAACAAAUCGAGGGGCAAAAGUUAAAUAAAAAUGGCUAUUAAAUGGGUGCCGUCUUCCAGAACAUCCAAUUAAUUGUAAGAAAUUAAACCAUCAAGAACGAAGAGACAACGAGAAAGACUAAAAAUAGAGAAGCCAAGGAAAGAUCCAAUUUUUCUCCCAUGUUUUGUACGGAAAUAUUCAUUGGAAGCAUGAACAAACGCUCACUUGUAACUCCACAGUGAUGGCAAGGUCCGUUCUUUCCCAUUUCCACCACUCCUUGCUUCUUCCGGUUCG